rnacentral:misc_RNA from 1 species
GCAAACUUGGUCAUUUAGAGGAAGUAAAAGUCGUAACAAGGUCUCCGUAGGUGAACCUGCGGAGGGAUCAUUACAGAGUUCAUGCCCUCACGGGUAGAUCUCCCACCCUGUGUAUUCAUACCUUUGUUGCUUUGGCAGGCCGUCGGGCUUUGGCCUGACCACCGGCUGAGAGGCUGGUGCGUGCCUGCCAGAGGAUCUUCACACUCUGAUUAUCAGUGUUGUCUGAGUAUUAUACAAUCGUUAAAACUUUCAACAACGGAUCUCUUGGUUCUGGCAUCGAUGAAGAACGCAGC